AUUGAACGCUGGCGGCAUGCUUUACACAUGCAAGUCGAACGGUAACAGGCCUUCGGGUGCUGACGAGUGGCGAACGGGUGAGUAAUGCAUCGGAACGUGCCCAGAGGUGGGGGAUAACGCAGCGAAAGCUGUGCUAAUACCGCAUGUGAUCUGAGGAUGAAAGCGGGGGACCAAGCAGCAAUGUUUGGCCUCGCGCCUCUGGAGCGGCCGAUGUCAGAUUAGGUAGUUGGUGGGGUAAAGGCCUACCAAGCCGACGAUCUGUAGCUGGUCUGAGAGGACGAGCCGCACCAGGGGGAUGAGAAGGCGCCCCAGCCUCAGCGGGGGGCAGCAGGGGGGAAUUUGGGAAAAGGGGGGGCGGUCUGUCACCGGAGUGGCGGGGGGGGGAAAAAGGCCUUGGGGUUGAAAACCGGUUUGGGCGCGAAAGAAAAGGUCUGGGCCAAAUACGGGGGGGGGAGCAGGUGAGGUAAAAAAAAGAACCGGACAAACUAGUUC
rnacentral:rRNA from 1 species